rnacentral:snRNA from 1 species
CAUACCAGCACUAAUGCACCGGAUCC